rnacentral:lncRNA from 1 species
AUCAGGCCCGUGACAACCGUCGCGAUGUCCCGAUAGGCACUCAUUAUCCCGAAUGCCGAUCGAAACCCCGUAAGGCUUAGCAUCAGCUUCCGCAUCUCCACGAUAAACGACAGUUAUUAAAUCUUACAUUUCAAGAAAUCUUAAGUUGUUUCCAAAUCAAAACAAUAAAAUAUUAUUUUUUUGGCUCACAGGGGCAUUUUCGUCAUUUUUCUUCGAAAAUAUCGAAACCCGUGAAAAACAUGAUGUAAAAGCUAAAUAUGUUCAUACAUACUUUAAAUCAGAUAACUUAAGUAUAAAAUUUCUUUUACAGUGACAUGUGAGCCCCCAACUAACCAAGAAGAUGUAGGGCUACGAACCCUUACUUUCUAGGAUGCAACUUCGAGAUUAAUUUUUGUCUUAAUCAACUAUCAACAAACUGUCAUGAGUCUAAAAAAUGGAUAGAAAAAUGGAUGAGAUUACAUAAUCCCAGUGAGUAAACAAACACCAUCUAAACUAUUUAAAGGCGAGUAAAUGGAGAUGAAUUAAAAUAUUCUUUUCCAAUAUAUGUUUCAUAACAUGAAUAUUCAGUUUACUCAAUUAAUCAACAUGGCUUAUAUAUCUCACAAAACUUGGCUCCUGCAAAAAUCGUUCUCGCGGGUACCUUUGUCAAGGUAUCCCACUAAGACUGUCAAGGUUGUUAAAGGUCCCAUACCCAUAAACAUGUUUUCGCAUCUGACACACAGCCGUUCCUUGGCGUUGACUGAGUCUCACUCUCACGCGGUGGUCCACGUGAAGUGCACUCAAAUCUUUACCUCAGGAGAUACUUCAUCUAACAUCUCCCCCCGGAGAUAAAUAUAUAACUGAGCUACCGUGCCUCUCUCAUAGGCAGUCCACGGGAACCCCCACCACUGCAGUGACUAUGGAUUAUUUUAUCUACCACCUGAUUUAUAAAAUAUUUAUCCGCAUGACAUGACAAUUUAUCGCAAUCUAGCCUUUCAAGGCUGAAUACAUAGUAUAUAUAAUUUUUGAUACAAAUACCAACUUUGUCAUUCAUGCUCACAUAUUGCUAUAAGCCAUAUAAUUUAAAACACAAUUUAUAACACAAGUAGACAGUCUCCAAUUACUCUAUUUUCAAAAUCAGUAUUCAAUUUUUCAGAAAAUUUAUAAAAUUAUUUUAUAAAAUCAUAAUUUCUCUUAAAACGUAGCAAUUUACCAUUUAAACCCAUUUUCUAUAAAAUCACACAAUUGUAUAAAACUACUCCAGAUAAUUAAGACGAUAAUAGGUUUACUCACAGUUCUAGGAGUCGAUGUACUCCUAAUCCCAGUCUUCAAACACAAUCUUUGUACUUUUACCAGUGUAAUUUGCUCACCACCUUUUGUCACUUGUUUCCUUGAAUUUUCACCAAUUUUCCCUUGAAUUUCUCCACCUAGGGUUUGUUCUUCCUUGGUUUCUCUUCUCUUUUGGUUUGGCUGACCAUUAUGGGAGAAAUGGACUAUUUUUUAAGUUAAAUAAUAAUAUAUUCUAAGCUUGACACAUGGCAUGUUUCCAUUGGUCCAAAUUUUAAAUAUUUGACUUUUAAUUCUUUAAUUCUCCACCACACAUUUCUCAUGUUUAUCUAUUUCCAUGAUAAAUAAAAUCCAUUGGUCUUGACAAAUGUUAGGAUAAAAAUUUACCGAUUUACCCCCGGGGUGGUAAAAUUACCAUUUCGCCCUUAUACUCCAAAUUAUACCGAAAUUAAAAUUUUUCACUUCUAAACUUCAAAUCAUACUUCAAUUACUCAAAUCAUACUCCAAUAAGUCAAAUGGGGCCAAGAAAUCUUUUCUAAAAAUUUUCAUUUUGUCUCCAGGUGGCAAAUGACCAUUUUGACCCCUAGAUAGUGAAAAUUUCGGUUUGACUCCAAAUUGAUCCUCGAACUCCGAAUUACCAUUUUAAGUCAUCCCUGAACUGUGAAACUCUUAAUUUCACCUUAAAAUUCCUAUUUGAACUAGUUCGAGGCUUAAUCGACUUAAUGAUACCAUUAGGGGCAAUAUCGUCUUUUAACGAUUCCUUAAACUUCUUAAAUAUGCAAACAUUCUAUUGAGCAUGUAAAUGACGUCGUAAUUAUUUUAUAGAACAGGGUUUGACAACACUACCCCCCUUAAAAUAAAAUUUUGUCCUCAAAAUUUUACUUAUCAAACUCAAAGAAAAGGUGGGGUAUUAUCUUUUAUUCGAUGCUCAACUUCUUCUGUUAUCUCCUUUAUGGGGAAUCUUGAGUUGCUCCUUGUAUUUAUUUCCAACUCAACUUGAAUACUUCACUUAUAUCUAUUAUUACUGUCACGACCCGGAACUCCCCAUCGGGCCCGUGACAACCGCCGCGAGGCCUCGACAGACAUUCUUCACCCCGAAUGUCGAUUGAAACCCCGCAAGGCUUAGCAUCAACUUCCGCAUCUCCCCGGUGAGCAACAGUUAUUAAAUCUCGCAUUUCAAAAAAAUCUUAAGUCAUUUUUAAAUAAGUACAAUAAAAUAUUAUUUUCUGGCUCACAGGGGUAUUUUCGUAAUUUUUCGUCAAAAAUCUCAAAACUUGCUAAAAA